GGAUGUGAGGGCAAUCUGGCUGUGACAUCCAUCACCCCAUUGAUUGCCAGGGUUGAUUCAGCUGAUCUGGUUGGCUAGGUGUGUGUCCCCUUCCUCCCUACUGCUCCACAUGUGUCCCUACACUUAGUUGAAGAGGACAACCUUCUCUGAUAGAGGAGGCUUCCUCUUCGGUCAAGGAUAUAUAGUAGCUGUGCUCCCCUGCUAGAACCUCCAAACAAGCCCUUGAGGUCCAUUUGUAGGAGAACAUAGGGCAGUAGUCAAGCUUCCAAGACUCUAGACACAUCCAAACGAGGCACUGCAUGUGGCAGUCUGCCUUCCUUU
rfam:Canis lupus familiaris chromosome 18, whole genome shotgun sequence.